GCAAACAGAUCACUGAAUCCUGUCCUGUAGAAUAGGGGUCAUGCUCCAUGAACAACCCGCAGGUCUUCUGCUUUCACACACCACCCUGGGACCACCACCACCCUCCCCCCACCCCCGAACCUUCCCGCAGUUUGUCACCCUCCUCACCAUGGCUGACAAGGGGCGCCCCUCUCACCCCCUAUGACAUCAUCUUCAAGAACUCUGAAGUGUGAUCGGUCUAUGCUUCCUAACCCCUGAAGUUGUUUAGUCCCAGGAAGCAGCACCCGGACAAAUCUUGAGAAAUGUAACAGAUUUGUUCCUUAAGCUAGGGUCAUCUGGAAAGAAGGACUCUCCAUUGAAAAAGUGCCUCCAUCAGAUUGGACUGUGGACAAGCCUAUGGGGACAUUUUUCUUGAUUACUGAUUGACAUGGGAGUUCCCAGCCCACUGUAGGUGGUGCCACCCCUGGGCAGGUGGUGCUGGGUGGGAUAAGAAAGCAGACUUAGCCAUCCAUGAACAAUCCAGUGAACAGCAUUCCUCAAUGGCCUCCGUGAGUUUCUGCUUCCAGGUUCCUGCCUUGAGCUCCUGCCCUGAUUUCCCUUUAAGAUGUGAUCUGGGAUAUG